UACAGGGGGGGCAAGCGUUGUUCGGAAUUACUGGGCGUAAAGGGUCUGUAGGUGGCUUGCUAAGUCAGACGUGAAAUCCCUCAGCUUAACUGGGGAACUGCGUCUGAUACUGGCAAGCUUGAGUGCAGGAGAGGAACGCGGAAUUCCAGGUGUAGCGGUGAAAUUCGUAGAUAUCAGGAGGAACACCGGUGGCGAAGGCGGCCACCUGGACGGCUACUGACGCUGAGACGCGAAAGCGUGGGGAGCAAACAGG
rnacentral:rRNA from 1 species